AUAGAGUUGUUAAAAGUACAGUAUAUAGUGGUCUGCCCAUUAUAUUGAAGAUGCUAACAGUCAAUGAAAUAAAUACACACAAUUUGGAACUGAUGUGGAAAUGCUUGCAAUGUCAACUAUCAUAGAUAAAAGUAUUCAUAGCAAUAUGACACAAAAGGUGGUCCCAUAGAAGACAUUACUCCAAAAGAGCAUCAUGGCUGUUGCAAGAAAACAUAGGUUCUUGAGAGGAUAAAGCAAGAUAGGGAAGUGAUCAUCAUGCAGUUUGUGAGGCAAUAAUGAUAGAUAUCGCGAGAGAAAUGAACGAUAAGUAUCUCGUGUUUUAUCCUCAAUUGCAUCAAGAAAAUAUUGUCAAAACUACUGCUUCAAGAAGUGUAAUUUCUAUCUCGACUAAAUUCAAGAUCUUCUGUCUUGUUUAAUUCAGAAGAAACCUCCACCAGAAUACUCAACCUCCUGGGCAGGUGGCAAGGAUGAAACCCAAUCUGACGCAUGAGUUGGAAGAAGACCCAAAGUGUUAAGCUUCCAGACGCCCAGUCCUAAACCCACUAGAUUGAGCGCAAUAAAUACUAAUUUUGGCCCAAGAAGAUCCACUUUGCUGUCCUUGUAAGGCUCAAAAACUUUCCCAACUCCUUGAAGAGCACUUACAGGCUGCCACAGAGCUGAAACUGUAAUACCAAUGCUAAACAAAUGAACUGUGCUUCCAGCCAUCCACAUCAUGAAGCCCAUCAUCAUCAAAUUCUUGAAAGGUGCUUGUGCCACUUCCCACGCUUUCUGGGACUUCCAAUUGGCUUCAGCGUUCUUCUUUUCACGGCUCAAAGUUGAAUCAUCCUGAUCUUGAGAAGCUCGAGUGAAUCCAAGUGGAUCAGGGAUGUCACGAGAGGGAGAAGAAGUCGAAUUAUCUGUGAAGUCUACUGCCCAUCUACGCCCCAUACCCAUCACUGCUUUACCUUUAUCCAUGGCGAUUUUUCACUUCAUACACCACAACACACACACUCUGUUUC
rnacentral:misc_RNA from 1 species